CUUUUCACACUGACUGCACGGGAAUGCAUUUCUCUCCAGUGUGAACUCUCAUGUGUCUUUUAAGUUGGUUUGUUGCUGAAAAACACUUUUCACACUGUUGACACAUGAAUGGUUUCUCUCCGGUAUGAACUCUUAUGUGUUCAUUAAGGUUACCACCUGUGGUAAAACUCUUCUCGCAGUGAUGGCACUUGUACGGUUUCUCUCCAGUGUGAAUUCUCACAUGUCUCGUAAGUUGACCCUUACACUUGAAACUCUUUUCACAAUGUUGACAUGCAAAUGAUCUCUCUCCAGUGUGAAUCCUCAUGUGGUUGUCAAGGCUGUUUUUUUGGGCAAAACUCUUUCCACACUGUUGACACAUGAAUGGUUUCUCUCCAGUGUGAAUUCUCAUGUGUGAAAUAAGGUUACCAUAACAUCUGAAAAACUUUCCACAAUGAUGACAUUCAAGAGGUUUUUCUCCGGUGUGAACUCUCAUGUGUAUCUUAAGUUGUUUUGCAUUUGGAAAACUCUUUUCACAAUGCUGACAUGGAAAAUGUUUCUCUCCAGUGUGAAUCCUCAUGUGUUCCUUUAGAUAACUUCCAGAGCGAAAACUCUUUCCACACUGACUGCAUUUGUAAGGUUUCUCUCGAGAUGGGUCUGUCUGCGGACCGCAAGAGAGGGGCGUGCCGUUAAGGGGUGUAACUUUUAGCAGGGGGCGUAACUUUAAGUUGUCCAAGUUACACAGAACCACGCGAGACGUCAGGACGAGAUGUUGUCAUUCUGUCUUCUCUUCUGCCCGCAUAGAGAUACGGCGGCUAAAGGCGUUAUUAAAGUUGCUCAUCCAAGCGCCUUCAUGUUUGUUCAUACCAAUUUUAAUGGACGGGAAGCCGACUGACGAACAUCCUUUUCCCGAGAAAUGGUUCGGCUACGACACAUGUUAAGAAGUCACGCCAGGGGCUGAAUUAAGGUCGACCGUUUCAGCUGCAUUGAUGUGAAGUGAUGCAGUGGACAACUUGUGAGGGUGAUACCAUCCACAUGCACCUUAACUGUGAUGCAGAAAUACAAUAGGAUGAUCCAUCUGUCUACACUUCAAAAUCACAACUCAACCUUAAACAACCCAUAUCUGUUAUGGUAAAACAAUGUGGUGGUUUUCCAGACAGGGCUUAUACUGUUCCCGGGCUAAAAUGUAUGUUUGAGCUACUGUAAUUAAGAAAACACCUUGUACUGACACAUCUCAACAUAUCAGUGCCAUUGUUUUGUUUCAAGGUGCACACCAGUCUUGUUUUUGUAAGGUUUGUUUGUAAAAACUAAAAUGUCCUAAUAUAAGUGCCCAGUCCUGGUUUAAUCUAAACCAUUGGUGACCAAACCUGUGUCUUGAGAUCUACUGUCCUGCAGAGUUCAGCUCCAACCCCAAUCAAACACACCUGAACCUGCCAAUCAAGCAUUUCAGGGCAACCUUAAAAUUAUAGUCAGGUGUGUUUGUUAAAGCUGGGUUAGAACUAAAAUAUGCAGGAGGGUAGAUCUCCAGGAACAGGGUGGGUCACCCCUGAUCUAAACAAAGUGUUUCCAAACUGUGUCCUGCAAAGUUUAGCUCUAACCCUAAUCAAACACACCUGAAGCAGCCAAUUAAUGUCCUACUAAGCAUACUAGAAACUUACUGGCAGGUGCUCUGAUGCAAGUGAGAGCUAAACUCUGCAGGACACCGGCCCUCCAGGACUGAGUUUGGGCACCCCUGACUAAGCCCUGUCUGGGAAACUGCACCAAUGUGUUAAGCUGGCACCAUUGGACAUUACUGCUGCUGAGAAACAACCACAUUUCUCAGCUCUACACAGGGUUGACAUUGGAUGCAUUAUUAUUAUAAAAUGCAUUCAUGUGCACUUUACCAAUACUGUACAUACAUCAACAGCUUCCAGCUAUACACUUGGGAUCAGCUCCUGAUGCCUCUCAUAAUGCUGUGUUAUAAUUUAUUGCAGGGUGAUCUUGCUAAAAGGAUAUUUUUAUAAACCUUUACAAUGUCACCAGAUGUUACCUGUUGUGAAUUAUUAUUUUAUAAACCUUUACAAUCUCACUAGUUGUUACAUGUUGUGGAUAGUUAUUUUUAUAAACCUUUUCAAUGUCACCAGAUGUUACAUGUUGUGAAUGUAAAGGUUUAUAAAAAUAACCAAUGUCACCAGUUGUUACAUGUUGUGCAAAGUUAUUUUUAUACACCUUUACAAUGUUACCUGUGUGAAUAGUUAUUUUUAUAAACCUUCACAAUGUCACCAGAUGUUACCUGUUGUGAAUAAUUAUUUUAUAAACCUUUACAAUGUCACCAGUUGUUACAUGUUGUGCAUAGUUAUUUUUAUAAACCUUUACAAUGUCACCAGAUGUUACCUGUUGUGAAUAGUUAUUUUUAUACACCUUUACAAUGUUACCUGUUGUGAAUAGUUAUUUUUAUAAACCUUCACAAUGUCACCAGAUGUUACCUGUUGUGAAUAAUUAUUUUAUAAACCUUUACAAUGUCACCAGUUGUUACAUGUUGUGCAUAGUUAUUUUUAUAAACCUUUACAAGGUCACCAGA